rnacentral:lncRNA from 1 species
GGGUUGCAUGUAAACAGCAGGAGGAAGAAGGGGACCCAGAGGCCGGAGGUAGGGGCGCCUGGAAGGGGUUCUCGUGAGAUGCCAUUGCAGAGUUAGAGAAGAAUGGACCAGCAGCAAGAACGAGGACACGAUGGUGCUCACAGCAUCGCUCUCAGGGCUCGGAUGCUCUCACGUCAGUCACCCAUCUACUGAUGCCAUGCCUCAGACACAACCACAGGGAGAAUACCUGACAGAGGUCGCACUCAGGUUUUGUAAUGUUGACAAACCCAAAAAAUGGAUAGAGGAGGAUUCUGACCAGAGUUGGCAAGUAAGAUAAUAAUCAAAGAAAUGACCUCACUCUCUCUCAUGUUUAUAUUUAAAGAUCCAGAAUUGUGUAUAAAAACACAAUAUGUUCGGGAAUUUUUUACUAAAAAUUCAGUAAAAGAGCUUUAGAUUUGUUUCCUUGGCUGUCCUUAGAAUAUUGUAAAGAGUAUCUCUGACUCUAUAGUAAUGGGUAAGAUGUUAUUUUUAAAAUGAAUUCUUCCAGUGUUAAAAACACUUUCGAGGGGUUUGUUUUUACUUAUUUUUACUGAGAUAACGCUGAUUUACCGCUUUACAUAAGUUUCAGGUGUAUGACAUUGUGUCUCUACUUAUGUAUACCUCGUGGCCUUGCUCACUGCCGAAUGUCUCGUCCCCGCCUGUCACCAUUCAGUUGGCCUCCUUCGCCUCCCCAACCCCUUCCCCUCUAGUAACCACUGUUCCUACUUGUUCUUUUCUGUUUGUUUGUCUGGUUUGGUUUGUUCAUGUAUUUUAUUUUGUUUGUAGAGCCUCUUGAUGAAGGUGAAGCAGGAGUGUGGAAAAGCUGGCUUAAAACUCUAACACUCAAAGCACCAAGAUCGUGGCAUCCGGUCCCAUCACUUCAU